CGCACCAAAGGUCAAUAUGGAAAACAACACGGUCUUCCUCUUUCUAAUAUCCUAAUCUCUCAUGCAUUAGAUAUAUAACAUUAAUCGUUAACUAGUUGGGUUUUCUUAUAGUAUCUUGAUAAUUUGUAUUAUUUUGGUCACGGUUAAACUAUGUAAUAUAGUUCAAAAGAUUCACCUCACAUUACUCUUUAAUUUUGAGACUCUGUUUAAACAAAUUGCUGGAAAUACUUAUAUUUUCAAUUUAUGAAUGAAUUGUCUUUCAAUUAAUAUGAAAUUUAACUCGAUGAACUUGUAAAUCAGAAUCACACAACGUGAAAUACAAUUGGGGAUUACAGAUGGUUACCCUGAGAGGAGCAAACAGAUUAUAGUAUGUUUUGUUGGGCAUUUUGCAGCUUCACACUAAGAGGAUUUUUUUUUUCACCCGGUUUCAGUUAUUUGAAAAAAAGAAACAAAAGAGUACAUAAAGGGAGAGGGGGACAUAAACCAAAACCUCUCCCAAAAAAAGAAGAACAACACAAAAACCUGUGAUCUACUAAGGACAAAGAACAACGAAGAACAAAUUCGUUGAUGCUGCUGCCUAAUGAAUUACAAAUCAAAAAACCAAUAUAAGAUCAAAAACUAAAACGAUAGUUGGGAAAGCCUGCUAAAUCACGUGAAUAAGCUGUAAUUGCACAAGGUGGACAUGAAUCCCACCAAUGAACUCCCGCAUUAUCCGCACCAAAAUUUGCUAAGCAGUCGGCAACGCUGUUAUCCUCCCGAUAAAUAUGAGAUACUUUAACAGUCAUAGUAGUAAGAAUAGUCCGACAGUUAAACCAUUCAGUAGUGAAACGCCAAAGAACAUCUACUUGAAAUGAAGAAAGAAAAUAAAUCACUAAAGUAGAAUCACUUUCAAUCCAAAGAGAAUGCCAACCUCUCUGCGAAGCCAUUUGAAUGGCGUGAAUGACCGUCUGCAGCUCAGCUUCUAAUGCAGUAGCAAUGCCAAGAUUUCCUGAAAAGCAACCUAAAACCUGACCCAAAUGAUCUCGAAAAAUGUCACCAAAACCUGCCAGAUCAGAAGAGCCACGAGCCGCACCAUCAGUGUUAAGCUUGACUUGAUAAAUAAAGGGAAUAUGCCACAUAACAUGCGACAGUAAGAGGAUCAUUUUAUGAGAGAAUCAUCCAUUUCUGGGUUACGAGCCACUUGCUGUUCGAGCAAAGGAAUAAUUGGUGAGUGACAUGUGGACGAAAUUUAGUUGGUUUUCGAUGAUUAAAGUAAAAGGAAAACUAAUAAUAAUAAGGAGAAAGAACAAAAGUGGUGAUGAAGGCACAUUAUCUUGCUUUAUAUUUUAUGUGUUGUAUACACUGAUGACAUAACCAAAAUUACAAACACAGAGCUGGCUUUUGUGUCAAAGUCUCUGAUUGUUUAGAUUAUGUAAACAUUAAUACAACUAUAGAUAAUAUAGAUUUACAUUCUAUAUUAGGAUUGACAAUGAUAUUACCUCAUUGAAAUCUGAAUAAAUUCAAAGGUAAUCUUUGCAAUGUCGAACUUAGUUAAUGAGUAAACUGUAAACAUUAAGAUACAACAUGCCUCAAGUAGUUACUUAAAACAUAAGUGGAUGAAUUUUUUAGACACCUCAAUAGUAGGGUACUAGGGUUAUUGAGAUGUUUUAACCAUUAUUAGUGACGAGUGAUUCACCACUCAAAUAUGCAUAGGCUAGUGAACCCUAGUCAAAAGACAGUUCGAACCUCACUUGUGGAACGAUGAUUCAUACUAGCUACAUCUCGACAUACAUCAAAGCUCAAUUCAAACCUCACUUGUGGAAUGACGAUUCAUACUAGCUACAUCUCGACAUACAUCAAAGCUCAAUGCACAUAAAUAAAUUAUAUUACAAAAAAUUUCACAUAAGAAAACCAAAUCAAAUCGAUCUUAUAUCGUUGAGAUAAAUUUCGUCUCUAAUCUAACAAAACGUGUGUUCCGAUUUUCUAGUCCGGAGUAAUUUGAAUGCUCGAGCAUCAACCUCGACUCGAGUAUUGACAGUGAUUCCUUCUCAUUUUUACCCGAAACAGAGAUCCCAAAGCAGCUUGCAGUAAAAGACCAGAGAAUAUAAAAAGUCGUAUAAAGACGUGUGCUUUCUCCGCAAGCUCCAAAGUUCAUGGUGUCUUCUGGUUAACGCCACAUAAUCCUAAUUAACUGCUGGAUUACGAAAGGAGGCCUAACUAAUCAACGGUGAAACCUCUCACUAAUCAGUAAUCACCCCCUUAAUUAAUCAUCCUUCACUUCACCACCACCAGACACCAGCAGCCCUUAUAGACCUCAACCGCGUCUUCUGCUUCUUCCUCCUCCUCUCUCUCUGGUUCUCUAACCAGAGCCGCCAGAGGCCCAUAUAACCCACUAGAUCUGCAACCCCCUCCUCACUUUCCAUUUUCGUCUUCCAACCGCCACUUUCUAUUUUUGGAAACUCCGAAAUGGACUCCGAGCAGCGCCGCAAGCGGAAGCGCCUGGGCCGCUCCUACUCUCUGCCGGCCAAGUGCUACUACUUGUCGCGGAGGUCUCUUCUUCUCUGCUUCUCUUUCUUCGUCUUCCUCCUCUUCUUGUCCUCCGGCCGCUUCAGAACGGCGUCGUUCCGCCCCGUCAUCACCGCCUCCUCCACCACUCUCUCUCUCCUCUCCUCCACCGCGCACAACUCCGUUCUCGACUCGUUCGCUCACCGCAACGACGCGCCGCCGGUGAAGGUCCAAGAUCGGGUCUUGUUUCCCGACCACGUCCUCCUCAUCGCCGCCGGCCGGCUCGACGGAGAGCUGGACUGUGUUUACCGGAGAUUCAACGGCUCCGAUGAGGUUGCCUUCGCCGUCAAGCCGGUGCUGUCGACGGAGGCUUACGACGAGGCCCGGUCGAUCGUGCGGUGUCCGCUGCCGUUCGGGAACUACUCCUCCGCCGUCGAUUUGAGGCGGCGAGGCGGAAAACCCGACUGGACGGCGAGGAUUAAUUCGACGGUGGAUGCUGCUUCUCCUUGGGAUAAGGUCGUUUACGAGGCGGUUAUUGAUGACGACACGGCGGUUGUGUUUGUUAAGGGGCUGAAUCUUAGACCGCACAGAAAGUCCGACCCGACCCGACUCACUUGCCAUUUCGAGAUUGGCGGAGGGUUUGAGCUUGCCACGCAAGCAGUUACGGCAGCUCAGGAAGUUGUGAGGUGUUUGUUGCCGAAGAGCAUUAGCAACAACCCGGAUAAGGCUUCGGGUAUUCGGGUCACAAUCGGGUACAACACUGGGCAUCCUAGAGCUCCAAUCCAUGUGACUCUUCCUUCUGUGGCUACAUUACAUAGUCCAAAGCCCAGGUUAGUUAAGGAGAAGAAGCAUGAGCUUUGUGCCUGCACUAUGCUGUGGAACCAAGCCCCUGCGCUCAGUGAGUGGAUCAUGUACCAUGCUUGGCUUGGAGUCGAGAGGUGGUUCAUCUAUGAUAACAACAGUGAUGAUGGGAUUGAGGAAGUUGUUUCGGACCUCGAUUCGCAGGGGUACAAUGUCACUAGGCAGUCCUGGCCAUGGAUCAAGACUCAGGAAGCAGGGUUUUCGCAUUGUGCUUUGAAAGCGAGAGAGGAGUGUACUUGGGUUGGUUUCUUUGAUGUGGAUGAGUUCUUCUACUUCCCUAAGGAGUUCAGGAAACGUGGGAAGACUGGCAUUCCUGGCGAAAACUCCCUUGGGAAGCUGGUUUCGAAUUUUUCAAACUCGCCAACGUUUGCUGAGCUGAGGAUUGAUUGCCAUAGUUUUGGUCCGUCUGGGUUGAGCUCACAUCCAUCACAGGGAGUGACUGCAGGGUACACUUGCCGGUUGCAAAGCCCCGAAAGGCACAAGUCCAUUGUCCGAGCAGACUUGCUUGAUGUUACAUUGCUUAAUGUGGUGCACCAUUUCAGGCUUAGAGAGGGUUUUAGGCACCUGAAUGUGCCGGAAGGCGUUGCAGUGAUAAACCACUACAAGUAUCAGGUUUGGGAGACUUUCAAGGCCAAGUUUUACAGAAGGGUUGCUACAUAUGUUGUAGAUUGGCAGGAAGAUCAAAACCAAGGGUCCAAGGACAGAGCGCCUGGGUUAGGAACAGAGGCCAUUGAACCGCCGAAUUGGAGGUUAAGAUUCUGUGAGGUUUGGGACACUCGCCUUAAAGACUUUGUUUUGACUUACUUUGCUGAUCCUUCAACUGGGUCACUGCCAUGGGAGAGGAGGGCUCAACUUCGGUGACAAAUGCAUAGAAGACUGGGUGCUUUGGCCCUUGUAUAACAACAGAGUACACACACCAGCAGCUAUUCUUUUUCUUCGAUUCUUUUGCCCUUUCGUACCUGAUUUAUUUUUUCUUUCAUACACAUGCAUGGAGAUUAAUUACAGGAUUCUUACACUGUAAAUGUGUGACAAAAUGAAUUGAACUCUUCCUUUCUCAAUUUGUAACCAUGCUUGUAUAGUGUAGGAUAGAUUCAUUUGUUAAUUAAGAGUUAGUUAUAGUUUCUCUUCUCUAUUUCCUUGUGUCACUUUGAUCAUGUAUGUUCUUCAUUGUAGCCGACAUUUAAGUCUGUAUAUUGAGAAACAAAAUUAUAGCAAGUACAAUUGGGGCAAUGGAACAUCUUAACAAACUGACCAAUUAAAUGUGUGCAUGAAACAAUUGUACCUCAUGAUUAAUGUGAGAAUAAGAAUAUCUGAAGACUAGUGUUUCUCUUCUGUAGAAUUCCCAGAAGACUAGUGUUAUCGAACUGACAGAUACAGUCAUAGCACAGUAUAUGAAACAGACUAUAUACAGUGUAUACAAUAACCAAAUAAUGGAUCAGGAGUUGGAGAUUGCGAUUGCCUGGCACCAGAGUACGAUCUUGUCACCAAUCUUGAUUCUCUAUUAUCAAAGAAUGUAUGGAGCACUUGAUCCCGACCUAAGAAUGAAAAUUUCGAAAAAUAAAUUAAUAGAGAUGCACACCAUAGGUCUGUGUACGAGCAACAGAGAGAUAGAGAGCUUUUCUCUACUCGAAACUAAACUGGAACUUUGAAACUUAUGAGCGUAACUACUACUAUAAUUAUGAGUGCUACUGAAACCAGAAGAUACAGUUGACAUAAGUAAUUGGUGCUGAAAUUGUGGAGUGUUGAGAUUAGAUGCAUUAAAAAACAAGAAAUCAAAACUAACCUGGCUUAGGAGUAGAACCGUUGCAAAUGCAAUGUUAAAUUAAGACACUUCAGUCCAAUUACUUCAAAACUGGGUCUUGUGACAAUGAGAGGUUAUCCACACAUCUUGCUAGUGUAGCAUCCAGCUUCUCUCCAAUUAAAGAAAUCCAUGCCUGUAACCGUUUCAAUGGUUACCGCAACAUUUAUAAUAAAAAUAGAUAGAAGGAAGCACAUAGAUGAAUAAACAGUGCCUAAGGAAUGUCAACAAGUUUGAUCAACUGGCAGCGGUGUGGUGGAUACUGAAUACCAAUCUAAGGGAUACAGGUUCACUGGUCUACACUAUCAAAGGCCUGUAAAAGGCAACUGCAAGUCCUUGCAUAAGAUGGCCAGAAAUGAAGUCAAAUAUGAACUAUUCCCAGGAUGGAUGAGAUAAUACAGCCCUAGGUGGAUAUAACAUCCAACUAUUAAGAAUGAGGACCUAGGAUUUCCCACUAUUCAGCCAAGUAGUCACUAACUCAGAGGACGAAAUAAAAUGAGAUUUCUUUUUCCAUAUCAGAAAACAGCGAAUGAGAAAUCAAAAGAUACACGAGGGCUAAGAAUGAGAUGGAACACUCGAAAUAUGAGAUGAAGGCAAUAAGUAGAUGAAGUCAAAGAAUUUUACUUGAAUGUAAAGGAAACUAUACAUGACAGUUGUGAGCUGAGUUCACAAUGUAAAGUAAAAAAGACAAACCUGAUCAGAGGCUGUGAAUCCUCUAAUUGUGUCACCACCAAUUAUUGCAAUUCCAUUGUCUCCAAGAGGCUGCAAUAUUACUGCCUGCAAAGUUUGCAACAGUGCCAGAAAUCCUUAAUUGCAGAUUUAAAACAGGGAUCAUCAAAAUGCAGAGUUGAAGAUAACAAGAAAGAUGCGCACAUCAAGCUCUUGGUUUUCUUAGGGGAACUAAACAUCAAUCUACCGAAUCAAUGAAUCACCUGGAUGGGAUAAACAAUACAUAUUUGCUUGAAAGAUGUAUAGUUAAAAAAAUCAAAGAAGAGAACAAACCUGUGUGUUUGAAGGUAGAAAUGGCAGCUCAGACUUCCCAGGAUAGAGAGCUAGGUUGGCCAAAUAACUCUCUAGAAAAAAAAAAAAAAUACAUGCAGUUUUAGACUAUCUGGUGCAAGACCUGUUUAAACUGUGACAGCUGAAAACUAAAACACUUCAACAGAUAACAUGCAGCAAUGGGAAGUUACUUACGAACUCCUGAUUUCAUAACACCUCGAUAUAGUGAUCCUUGAAUCAGUUUAUCAGCAUCCACGGCCACAGCUUCACCACCAUCAGAAGCUGCAGCUGCAAAACCAAUCUGAAGCACAUUUCUGCCACCAUAAACUAUAACAAGAGACCGGCAACAUGUUGCAUAUGAUAGAGAUUCCCACGCCCUGAGAACAAGCAAUAAAAAUUUGGAUAGCACACAUAGCUCAGCAACUCCAAUUUGAUCAACAUUUCUAAAUAACAUCUGUCAAUGCAUUACCACAAUAACUCGGAAACUAGAGUUUCGGGGAGAUCAGAACGCAUCCUCCGGCAUUCCACCCCUUCAGGAUCCACCUGAAAUUAAUUAAUGAAACUGCAUAACCUACAAGUCCAUCAAAACAAGAACCAGAAGCAAAAUCAAAACUCGACGAGCUUGAUUCACCUUGGAAAUAGAUUUUGGUCUGAUUGACAGCCAAACCAGCCCUGCUAAAAUGUUCGUCACAGCCAAUCCCAAUGUCAACAAAUCAGCCCUAGACUGUGAGCUACAAAAUUUCACACAAAUAUUAACCUCACAAAUUCACAAUUAACCAAAAUUAAGCAAACAUAUAAAUUGCGUCACUCGAUACCUGCUGGCGUCAGCAACGAGAGCGAUGUCAGAAGCCGUGCGGUUGAAGAGAACGGCAAGGAGGGAGACGCCGCCGGCGUAAAUCGGCAAGCUCCGAGCGGCGUCAUCGUUGUUAGAGACCCAAUCGGCGACCAAAUUGGUCUUCGGCUUCGGGCCUCUGUAAUCGUUACCGGAAUUCAGAGAGAUAAUAGAGGAGCCAAAACGACGUCGGAUAGGGCGUUUUGGGGUCCGUGGGAGUGGAGUGGGACUUCGGAGAAGGCUUCCCGUUCCCGCUUCCAUUGAAAAGGUCUCAAGAAAUAAUGACUUUUUCGAUCCUAAUAUUUUAUUGUUCCUUUAUUUAAAUGGAGAGCCCUCCAGCCCGUCAAGGCCCACGUUACCUCGGGCCGCCUAGACCCACCUCGUCUCCGCCUAGCCCGCAUGAAUCAAUAUUCUUUCAUAAAUGAAUUGGGCUUUGGCCCACAUAAGGUCUGAGAAUGAGAAAUCAAUUUCCCUCCGUCGCCCUUCGCCGUUACAUAAGGUCUGAGAGAACUUUCGUUCUGGGGUCUUCAUCUUUGCUCGUAUUGAGCUUCCAAAGCUUGUUAGAGUCGGCAGUGGCGGAACCAGAGGUAUGCAGAAAGAAAUCGACUUUGCAGCUCCGGUAGCCUUUCUACCAUAUAAUGUUGAACAGAAAAUGCUAAUGGCAAAGCACCUGUACUUCAUUUGAAUUUCAUUUCGGGUUUUCAUCUCUGUAAUAUAGUGCACAUGCAUAAUAUGUUUGAGGAAAUGCCUCAAAGAAACCGAACUUCACCUAAUUUCUUUUUUGGAUACGAACUUCACCUAAUUUCGAAUGUUGAUCAGUGUAGUGAAGAAAAUAGCAUAUACGUACGAUAAGACUACUUUUAUUUGCUUUUGGUUCAAUGCGAUCUGGUGAUCCGUGAUCGAUCGACUCGAUCGAGUGCUAAAAAACAACCUACUACAACCUUCAAUUCUUCGUCAAUUUUUGUUUUGAAGGACUAUUAGCCACAACAGAAGUACAGACCAAAGGUAUUAAAGCAAACGAAUUAUAUAUUACAAGUUACAUAAGUAAACAUAUCGAAUAUUAUUAUUCAGAUAUUUUCUUCUCCCACUAGAAGUUUCAAAGGGUCCAGCCAGACCAAAUAACAAUACGCACCUGGUGCUUCUUUUUCAUUCCACCCCCGAAAGGAACCAGACAAAUUCAAAUUAAACAAGCAAGAAAUUCCCCACCUCACACACACAAGAGAAGGACAUCUCGUCUUGUCCUAAUUAACUAAUACCAGAGCUGUACAAGAAAAUAGGAAGAAAGGAAUUAAUCACCUAAUCACCUACUUAAAACCUAACCCCACCAUUAAUCUCUGAUCUCUAGUUAAUUGGAACAUUAUUAUCAUAUUGAUAUUGCUCUAAUUCGGACCCAUUUAAUCAACUUCAACUUUCCAUAAUAAUCUUGCUUACUUGCUUGUUUCUUCUUCUAGCCGGCCGUAUAAUACACGAACUGUAAACACGUCAUGACGUCAUCGCAUACAUCAAGCCACACUGAUGAUGCUAUCAGUGCCACUAGACAUGGCCUGAAAAGCAGACGAGUGGCCCGAAGCCGUCGGCGACUGUUCCUCAGAUGACGCCGUGUUGGAGAGCUUUAGUGACAAAGGCAAUGGCUCCUGUGCUACUCUGCUAGGUGAAUACUUGUUAUUCAAGUUGAGCCCGGCCAUUUUGGCAGAAGGAGGAACCGGAAUCGGACGGACCACUUUUCUCGUCGUUGUUGCGCCUUUUACCAUCUGCUGCACAUCGUUGGAUGGAUUUGGCGCUCCUCCUAAUAAUGCUAGAGUACUCUCCGCUGAAGAUGAGCUCUCGCCGGUGACAGGUAGGACCACCGGAGAAAGAGUCAUUGGAAAGGUGGAGAUCGGAAACCCGCCGAUAAGAUUACCGCCCAAACUGGUCGACUGCGGUGGAGGAUAUGGCAGUACCGGUAGUGAUAAUUGUGCACUUUUUUCUUGGUGCAGUGCUAGAUCUUCUUCCAUCAAUGAAUUCAUGGACUGCUAAUUAUAAUACAAACGUACACACCAUAAUUAAUUAUUAAUUAUAACCAAGUUUAAAUAAUAAGGUCGAUUAAUCAAAACUAAUAAAAGACUUACAGGAGUAUCGGUGGUGAUAUCAAAGAGACUAGAUCUACGGCGUCUGCGGUUAUGGUUGCUCCGCCUCAGAAAGUACUUCUGAGCAUGACUCGCCACCUGAGUCGGCGUCCGAGUCUUCACGAAGUUUCUAGAAAUCCCUCUCCAAUCUCCUUUCCCUACCUUCUGCAAUCCCAACAAGAACAACCUGUGCUCCUCCUCCGUCCAUGCAACACCUUCAAAUCAAAUCAUACAAUAAAACUCAAUACCUAUUUACCUUUUUCUGUAUACAUAAGUCCCUCCAUACCGGUGAAAUAUAUAUAAACCUACCUCUCUUUCGCUCGCGGCGGUUACCAGAAGCGUGAACGACGUCGUCGGAGGCAUAGCCAGCGUCAGGGUUGGAGUCCUGAAGAGGCAGCUGGUCAUACUGGGAGAGAUUGUUCAUGCUAGCACUCUUCCUGAAGGCGUUUCCCUGCUCGGUGACCAGUCUCACUCCGAAGAGCAUGAUGCCGUUCUCUGCAGGUGAAGCGGCGCCACCGCCGGCGGCCUCCGUGCAUGUGCGAGAGUUGUGGCCGUUGUUCCCGCACUGAGAGCACGUGCGAGACAUCUUUGCUCGGACGACGACGUCGUAUGAGUACUUGUUGUUGGUCUGCGACAAUUUUAAUAAGGCAUGCAAGGAAAGAAAGGAAGAGAGGAGAGGGCCGGGAUUAAUAGUUAGGUAGGAGAGGAGAGGGAGAGAAAUUGGUUUGUCUGAUGAAAGAGAAAAAUGAGGACUGGUAGGGUUCAUAUAUAGUAACAGCUGUGAGGUGCUAAAGUAAGUUAGGGUUUCCUUGUGUUUAAUUAUGCUAUCUGUACGAACAUGGUCGACCAUGGGAUAUAAUGUUACGAUGCUUCGCAAAUAUCUGUACUUGGAAUCGUGAAUCACUGCCGUUGUUUUAGUUUGGGAUGGCAAUCAAAAGCGAUACAUAAAGUCGAUGUAACCAAGCCUUUCUGUCAUAGUAAUAUCCAAUACAAUAUUUUGGUCCCGAUAUUAGCUGCUGGAUGAAAUUUAUUCUCCUCAAAUGGAUUGGUCAUUACCUAGGGGUUGAAUUGUUUAGCUGAUUAACCAAGUCCUUUAAGAUUCUGAAACAACGUACUCUGUAAUUCAGACACUGAAACGAAAUCACAGUCAACCCUAAACGUUUUAACCCACAAAGCCAAGUCUUUCUAAUUAUCUCUCCGUACGCUAGAAAUGUGCGGAAAACAGCUAGUUAUAUAGCAUGGCAUCUUGUUUUGCAUAUUUCAAGCGCAUAGAUUCGAAAUAUAUAUAUGUAUCCAAGAUACUAAUGGUCACCAUGAAGCUUAUGCAUUGUGACCCUAGCUAUCGGUCCAAGAUAGCUCUAGUAUAACAAUGGCAUAUUAGAGGUGCUGUCCUAAUUGUAGUAUAAUAUAAGCACAUAGAUGUGACCUUGUUGUUUUCCUUUUGUUGUCAUAUAAAUAUAUAUAUAUAUAUAUAUAUAUAUAUAUGCAUCCCCAUUAUGAAAAGCCUAAGAUUGAUAAAAUAUAUAAGAUAAAAUAUUGUAUAGUCAUUUUGGUUUGAAGUCGACAUUUGUUCAGUUCUUAUGGUUUUAUUUUAAUCUGAAUAGUCUUUAAAGUGACUAUUUUUCAUCCAAAUGAUAUUUCCGUCAAUUUUCUCAGUUAAAUUGCUGACGUGGUAGUUUUUAACGGCCACAUCAGUAUUCUAACAGAAAAAAAAAUAUAAUUUAAAUGAAAAAUCGUGAUUUUAAAAAACAUUUAAAUUAAAAUAAAACUAUAAUAAUUAAACAGAUGUCGACUUUAAAUCAUAAAAACUAAACAAAUUUCAAUUCAAAUAUAUAUGCUUAUGCUACGUACAAGACGUUUGAUUGUAAUUGUUUAGGGUUGUCUGCUUGUUAAUCAAAAUCAUAUUGUAGAAACUUUUGCUUGGUUAAUAUAAUAGACAAGGAAAAAGAAAGAAACAAUAAUAUAGAUUGAAGAGAAAAAGCGAUGGUGGAGGAUCAAAGGGUUUUGUGCACCGUCAACUAGGCAUAUUCGAUUUGAGAAAAAGAUAUCGUUGUCCGUCGCAAUGCUUGACGUUAAAUAUUUAACUCAAAAUUGGAUCGCUCUUGGUGGACGUACUUGCCAAUACGUGGUUGCGAACGAUAAGCAAAGGCCAAAUGGGACCCCACACAUCACCAUUCACCAACACAACACAGGGCUAUAGCUCUUUUCUUCAACCUCAGCCUCUCUAUGUGGCUCGCACUCUGCUGGACCCUCCGGUCUGGUGGGUAGUGCUGCGAUGCCUUUUUUCGCCUUUUCCUUUGUCUUAUUUCACACGACCUAAGAAAGCUCGUCCACCACGAUCUAACCCGAGAAAGAUCCCAAUCAGAAGCUGCCACAUCGAGAACGGGAUAUAAAAACGUGGGGAGGCUGUGGCCGUGAGAGGGAGCUGAGCUAGGUCAUUCUGGUCAGGUCAGUUUAUUGGCCGGUGCAUGUUCUUGCUCACUAAGCAAUUGCAAGCACGUGUUCCUCACUUGCUUACGUUGCUUUCGAAGCCUUUGUCGACUCUGAUAUUAUAACUAGACUUAUGGUCUGUUUCUUUAUCUUAUCGUCGUCCAUCUGCAGCAAUAGAGAAAGCUAGCUAGUAUACGGAUUAUAAUGCAAUAUUGAAUCGAAUUACCAAUUUUAGUUUCUGGGCAGCACGUUGUUUUUCUCGUGCUAUUAUUUUCUGGAGCUUGUUCACAUUCACAUGCAGUGAACCGAUCGAUGAGAAGUAGCAGUACCACUGUAGCAGUAGUAGUUCUGACCGGUGGCGGCUAGUUUCAUUCGUCAAUGCCCAGUUUCUGCAACUGUUACUUGAUUUGUUUAAGUACUCUAUCUUUCUCCUACUUAAUUAACUGGAUGUGUCCUUGGUCUUUGCUGAUCAGUUUCCUGAACUAAGCAACCAUGUAAACUGAUCGAGACCUAGCUCAGUCCACAGACCAACGAAGUAUCUUUCAAUAACCAUGUAAACUUGGUAAUUAUCUUGAUUUUUUUUUUCUUCUUGAAUUCAUUUUUGUGUUUUGAUUUGAGUAGAUCGACUUGUCUCCAAGACAAAACAAAUAAUUCUCCUACCGUCCAAACCUUGGACUGUGUAUAUAGUACCUUUGCAUAAGAAAAUCCCCGUUCACAUGGCACAGUACAAAUUGUUCCCACGUAUAUCACAUGAUUUGAUAAAAUUAUAGAGGUAUAACAUGCAUAUAAUUAGGAAGGAAACUUAGAGACAUGGGUUAAACAGCAAGCACGAAAAAGGCAGCUAUAAUUUCUCCAUCACUCUUGGCCAUGGAUUUGACCUUAAAGUGUUCUAAACAACGUAACUUAUAAUCAUUUCACUAAAUCUGAGAUCUACAUUGUGAUUUAGAAAAUUCUGUUUGAGUGGAGACUUAAGAUCAAAAUGAACCACCGUUAUCCGUAUCUGCUCGAUUAGAUCUGAAGAAGUCGAAAACUCGAUUGGUGACAAUCUUGUUCGGGUGAAAAUGGAUGUUUUGUACUUUUGUUAGCAGUGAACCGCAGAAGAUGAUGAGAUUGAUCAGUGUACGUAGGUAGAACAUAUAACUCACUAGGGUAAGGAUUAAGGAAUAGCUACAGUACUACAUAGUCAGUAUAUAUGUAUGAUCUAGCUAGGAUCACACAAGUCAAAAAGAUGUGGUGCAUCUUAUAUCCACGAUAGGAUAAGUUGCUGACUUUAAUGGCCAUUCAAAUGCUCAUCUGUACUACUGAUUGGUGUUUGUUAUCUUCUCCGAUAGCUAGCACACAUACAUAUGAAGACUGGUUGACAACGUAUAAGUUAAAAGCCUUAAAAUCCGUAGAAAAUGAAUUAGGACGAUUUCUUUUGUCUUGUUCUGAGGACCCCAAAUUCAGACGGCCGACCUCAGUAGACCAAAAACUUAAUUAAUUGUUGAUUAUGAUUGAAGUUUAUACUGGCAUGGGUGUCUGGGUUUGGUCCAAACCCAAACUAUCAUCGAUUAUUCAACACGCCAAUAACACAAGAAGGUAUGGCAGUGAGGCGCACACAAGAAAGUUAGCAAGUUUUUUUACUCUAAUUUCCUAUUACUAACAGGAAAACUCCAUAUCGAAGUACACAGCUGGUUGGUGGGAUUCACCUCUUCCUUUUAUUUUGUCAUAUUGUAGUAGUGACCUUAUGAGUCUUCUUUAAUUUCAGUUUUCAUAGUUUUGUUUUGUUGUUAUUUUGUUAUGAGAGAUUUUGGUCUAAUCCCCCUCUCUUGAUGUUUCUCUUUUUUCUUUUUUAAUAUAUAAGAGUGUUAUCUUUCAGACCAAAAAAAAAAAAAUUAACUAAGUUAGUGCACUCUAAUCUACAUGUUAGUAUUUUGUAACUGAGUUAAUUUUCCUCACUGUAAAAACUGAAAACGAAUUGUAUGUAUAAUUAAUGGAGUUUUGGAGAUUAGACGGGUUGGAUUAUCCCUUUUGGUUGUUCAGUUAACAUCUUUGAACCCAAAUGCGUACAAUCAAUAGGCCUAAUGAAUAAGGCCCGUCUGCGACCUAGGGUUGUGAUAAAUGGGUAAACCAUAUGAUAACGACAUACACUGACAAACCUUUGUAUAAUUAGUUACAAAUCACCGUGAUGCUAUUAUUAAUUGUUGCAAAAGAAAAACAAUUAAGAAAGUACUAGAAAUUAAUUAACUGGGCGGGAGCAAAUGGAAAGCACAGUACCGGUAGCAGUACUAGUACCAGAAGUACUAUUCGGUAUUCACAUCGUUGAUGAUUUGCCUCCUUCUGCGAAUAAACUCUUCAGCUCGGCGAUCAACAUCAUCGUCUGGCCGUACUUGACGAUGAUCACGCUUCACAUGUAAAAACGUCGAUGGAAGCGUGACAGCAGUAAAACCUUGAUGAGGGAUGUCUGCUGCGACUUUUGCUGGCUUUGAUUGAUGAUGACCGUUUCGAGCGACAGCAGCUGGCUCCUCUGGCCUUUUCUGGCUUCUUCUCGGACGCCGAGAAGGUUCCAUGUCUAGUAAAACCUUGGUGGAUGCAGCAGUUUUAGUACUUGUACUAUGGACGACGUUGGUAGUUUCAUGCCCGGAAUGAGCUGCUGUUGGCUGCACUGAUCUGAUUGUUGUUGUUGUUGUCGUCGUGGUUCCGCAACUCAUCUUAGCAAGAGAAACAGAUGAAAGCUUAAUGAUGUUCGCCACCAACACCAUUGAUUUCUCACAGAGAGAUUUCUUUUUGCGUAGUCCGCUCUCGUGUUUCAUCGCUACCUUGCUUGAAUCCCAAGCUAGCGAGCUUGUGGAUAAUUACUUACUAUCUAGCUUGCUAGCUACUUUAAAUAAAGGAGAUGCUCUAUCUAAAAAAGGAUUGCAAAUUUGCAAUCUUUGCAGAACGUCAUAGACUUUGAACGGGUUCUUAAUGGUUAUGACAAUCAAUUUUGCAUCUAGAAAAAAGCUAUAGUUUGAAAAAAAGGGGAAAAGGGACGAUGAUGCUAAAAGUACAGUUGUUCGGUUCUAGGGGGAUUAAUUCCAGAUCACUAGCUUGGUAAGACUGGACUCUUGUUAUAUAUAUAGUAUUCCUAAUGCUUCGAUUACUACUCUCACUAAUCAUUUUGUGGCUUGGAAUCAAGCAAAAUUUGCUCAAGUAAGCUUCCUACCUCCAUUUUCUUAUUAUGGUGUUGUGAGGAUAUGAAAGUCUUUAUUUUCUUUUACAGUGGUAGAGUUGCUGUCUUGUAAUGAGAAGCUAGGGAGAGGAGUACUCAGUACUGAAUUAGAUUCGAUCUGUUAUGAAUAUCCAUGAGAAAGACGAAACAAAAGGAUCAGAUUCUAACCUUAUGAGUCUCGUUUGAGCUGUACGUCUUAGUCUACAAAUUAACCAUGAAUUAGUUGCUUUGAUAAUUGAUUGAAUGAUUGUAUAUAUUAGGUUUAAACUGAGCGAGAUUCUGCGUUUGGUGCCCUCGACAGACACGUCAAAGAUACUUCGAAUUCGUUUCAGCAGGAUAGAUUGAUUAUUCGUCUCUACAGUUUCUCAUGAUUUGUCAAUAUGAUUCUUCUCCAAAGUAAUAUAAACACCUUUUGGUCUAAAAUAUAUAAAGGAAGUUAUCUUCAUGCCAACAUCAGAAUCUGUCUCUGCUGCCAUAGCAUACUUUCCUGUUUCCUUGAAUUGGAAAGCAUGCACGGAUUUGAUAUUCUCUGUUAUGUUUGAACUCCAUUUCUUUGAAGGCUAGCUAGGGUUUUAACAAUUAUCUCUAAAAUUUGGAAACGUAAUCACGUACUUCAGUAUUGAGGACCCCUUAAGCCUCAGGUUAACCACCUAAAGUACGUAGUUAAAUUUCAGGCUUAUUCUCCGUUUAAGAACUCACCCCCUUAUCUCUAUGCUAAUCAUUUUAAUCGCCUCAUAACCUCAUCUUCAUAACCUAUAAAACUUUCAAAGCUUAUAUACCACUUCAAUUUGGUCAAAAUCAUAUCAAGAUUGAUCUCUCCUUCCCAAAGGAAAUCAUACUGCCAAAACUCCAGAAAGCAAAAAUUUCAAAGUGAAGGGAAAUUAAGAAGAAUCCAAAGAGACCCAAUUCAAGUUUCAUUAACUAUAAGCCCACAUUUCUACUUCAUGUGUGGGCCGUAUGGCCUAUGAUCCUGGACUACAUCAUAUUCCCCUAAAGCCCAACCCAAUAUGUAGUCAUUGUCAUGAGUCAUGACAAAGAUUCCAAACAAAAUGAUGAGUGAUUAGUAGUAGGUGGGGUUGGACUUAGAUCUUAAUUAAUCACCUCCACAACUCCACGACCAAGACACAUCAUUUUAAAGCUUAACUCAGUAGUUUAGUGUUUAAUUAAACAUAGUUAAGCAUCCCAACUGCACCACAUCAGGGACAAAACGACGACGUUAGGCCCACCACAAAGACCAGUCAAAACUUUUCAAAAGCUGCUCAUUGAAGCUAAACCUCAGUCAAUGGGCUCUUCUUCUUCUUUUCCAAUCUCUCUCUCAGCCUCCACCACCAUCACUAUCAUCUCCACCGCCUCAAAUUCCAAAUCAAAACCCUAACCCUACCAUGAAGAUCGCUUCCGCUUUAGUGUCUCUGAUCGUCUUCCUCAGCUCGCUCCACCUCUGCCGUUCGAUCGAGGACGACCUCGCCUGCCUCGCCGGAGUCAAGAGCUCGCUCGCCGACCCCGGCGGCCGCCUCAGCCAAUGGAACCUCGCCAACAACUCCGUCGCGUCAAUCUGCAAGCUCGUCGGAGUUUCGUGCUGGAACGAGAAGGAGAAUCGCCUCCUCAGCCUCCAGCUGCCGUCGAUGAGCCUCGCCGGCGAGCUACCGGAGUCUCUCAAGUACUGUCAUAGUCUCCAAACCCUAGAUCUCUCAGGGAAUGCUCUCUCCGGUUCGGUGCCGCCGCAAAUCUGCGACUGGCUGCCGUAUCUUGUGACUCUAGAUCUCUCUAAUAACCGUCUCUCCGGCUCCAUUCCGCCGGAGAUUGUCAACUGUAAGUUCUUGAAUACUCUGUUAUUGAAUGAUAAUGGUUUUUCCGGUUCGAUUCCGUAUGAGCUGGGGAGGCUGGACCGGUUGAAGAAAUUUUCAGUUUCUAAUAAUGGACUUUCCGGCACUAUCCCGCCGGAUUUGUCCAAAUUCGAAAAGGAUGAUUUUGAAGGGAACGGUAAGCUUUGUGGGAAGCCGCUUGGGUCUAAAUGCGGUGGCCUGAGCAGCAAAAGCCUCGGUAUUAUAAUCGCCGCCGGGGCUAUUGGUGCGGCGGGGUCUCUGAUUUUGGGGCUUGGGAUUUGGUGGUGGUUCUUUGUUAGGGGAAGUAAGAAAAAGCAAAGCUUUGGUGGUGUUGGUGAGAAAGGUGAGAGUAGGUGGGUUGGGUUAUUGAAGUCUCACAAGCUUGUUCAAGUGUCUCUGUUUCAGAAACCGAUUGUGAAAGUCCGGUUAGCUGAUUUGCUGGUGGCUACGAGUAAUUUUGAUUCUCAAAACAUUGUCAUUUCGGGUAGGACAGGGGUUUCAUACAAGGCGGUGUUGCCUGAUGGGUCUGCAUUGGCAAUCAAGCGGCUUAGUGGGUGUAAGCUCGGAGAGAAGCAGUUUAAGUUGGAGAUAAAUAGGUUGGGGCAGCUUAGGCAUCCUAAUUUGGUGCCUUUGUUGGGGUUCUGUGUUGUGGAGGAAGAGAAGCUUUUGGUGUAUAAGCACAUGUAUAAUGGCACAUUGUACUCUCAGUUACAUGGUAGUGGUAAUGUGAGUAGUCAGUAUGGUUUUUUGGAUUGGUUGACACGGUUGAGGAUCGGUGUAGGAGCAGCCAGAGGACUUGCUUGGCUUCACCAUGCUUGCCAGCCGCCGCAGAUGCACCAGAACAUUAGCUCGAAUGUGAUUCUUCUUGAUUAUGAUUUUGAGGCUCGGAUAACGGAUUUUGGGUUGGCGAGGCUGGUGGGUUCUCGUGAUUCAAAUGAUAGCUCGUUUGUGAAUGGGGAGUUGGGAGAGAUUGGUUAUGUUGCUCCAGAAUACUCGAGCACCAUGGUAGCAUCGUUAAAAGGGGAUGUUUAUGGAUUCGGGGUAGUUCUUUUGGAAUUGAUUACCGGACAGAAACCUUUAGAAAUCAGUAAUGUAGUGGAGGGGUUCAAGGGCAAUUUGGUGGAUUGGGUCUCUCACUUAUCAAACACUGGUCGAAGCGUUGAUGCCAUAGACAAUGUCUUAGCAGGGAAAGGUCAUGAUGAUGAAAUUUUACAGUUCAUGAAGGUGGCUUGCAGUUGUGUGGUUGCUAGGCCAAAAGAUAGGCCUUCUAUGCAUCAGGUUUACGAGUUAUUGAAGAGCUUGGCUGAUAAACACGGUUUCUCUGAACAGUACGAUGAAUUUCCAUUGAUGUUGGGCAAACAGGUUCCUGAAUCUUGAUUCUAAUUAAGAAUUUUAGGCUGGAAAGUGUUGAAUGUACAAGAUACCACUGCAGCAUCUGGGCACGUCUCAUUUUAUACUUGCAAAGAGGCAUUUUCUGCAAUUGGUAUUGUUUUUUGAGCAUGAUUUCUCUGUUGUAAUGCUCAGCUAUUGAAUCUUUCUGUAUUAUAAAGAAGCAUGUAAUUUUCACGUAAUCCAAAAUGAAAUCUCUGUUUUUUUUUUUUGAUUGAAUGACAUCUCUGUUUUCUUGCCAAUUGCUAUGUUCUUUCCAUAAAUCAUAGUAGUAACAUCUAUUGACGAAACAAGUUUAGGUGCAUCUCGGCCCUCGCCUUUGAAUCUUUCCUUGAACUUCCACCAUCUCAAGGUCCCCACUCAACCACACAGCAUAGCAUAUAAAGCCUGGAGUUGAAUGAAACAAUCAUAUAUGUCUUGUAUUCAGUGACCUUUCAAAACCAAACCACGGCCUUUCUCGUGACCACUGCAGAAAACAUUUAAGAACCCAGCAGCAUUAUUCGGAGAAGACCAUGUUCUUAUUAUGACCUAUUUUUCAGUAAGGGGGCAUUUCAUGACCCAACCCUGCCUUGUGGGGGCGUUAUGAAAUGUCGAUUUUUGCUCACAUUUUUGUCAUCAUCUCAUCUCAUACCUGCUUGUUUGGCUUUCAGCUUUCGGCUCAUCUCUCUGAGGUGGGUGUCGUUCUGAGCACAUGGCUUUAUAGUCAAUUAUUGGCUACCAAUCAGUAUAAUGAUAUAUCAUAUACGAGAAUGUUGUGGUAAGAAUCUGCUAUCAAAAUAGUUGAUGCACAAGAUGCAUUAACACAUCCUUACUGUUGUUCUAGUAAGGAGGUGGUGACCAAACCCAGAUGCCUCUACAGAUCGUGCAGACUUGCAAGCCAAGCUCUCUCUUAUAAUAUGUUUUAUGAUAUAGAAGUUCUAGUUGGUAUUCAGAAUGGAUUAUCAAACCUAUUCUAUAUACAUUGGUAUCCAACCACUUUGAAUUACAUUUAAAUUGUAGUAAACUACUUUGUAAGCAAUUUAAUUGUCCGGCAAACCCAAACCAGACACCGACGAAGUGCAGCAGAAAGAACAAGACCAUCCAACCAGGUCAGACUAUUAGAUAUCCAAGCGCAAUAAGAAACGAAGCUCAUCACCAUCCCAUUCAUCAAAGCCACAAGCAAACAAUGAAAACACAGAAUUAAGCAGCAGCAGCAGCAUGUAAUGUACUUCAGCUGGAAAAAGAAAAGAAAAAUGCUGUACAUAACAAUGUAUCAUGCAUGAUUAAUUGUAUCAUAUAUACUAGGUCCAAUAAUACUUCUCUCCACAACAGUGAAUUAGAUCUUAGGUUUUAAAGAUAUAAGAGUAUAUAGUUCAUACGCACAUUUCAUUCUUUCUAGCUAGCGAGACAAAUAUACUGUAUAUAUAACUGAUCCAAUAAGCUUAAGGUUUUUUAGUUUUUUUUUUUUUUUUUUUCCUUUUUUUUUUUUCGAAAGGGAAACAAACAAACAAAAUUUUCAACACAUAGCAAAAGUUACACUUUGCAUACCAGCAUGGAAUAAAGAUUGUAUCUUCUCACACAGCAGCUAAAGUCUCCAUGUAGUAACCAGGACUACAAUCUUUAAAUAUAUAGUCUCCUAACAUAUAUUGAACAAUUCUAACUUUAAAAAUUUGUGUCUUUUAUCAAUUUAAUCACGAUCGGACCAAAAUAACUCACGCGUGCUGUGUUUUGUAAAUCUGUUGAAAUUGUUGUUUUAAUUGGUAUUAAGUGACUUUCCAAGAUUCUUUUAAUUCUUCUCAUAUUGACAUCGAGAUCCUCAGUUUUCAAAGAAAAUGAGCUAUUGCCCCUCUUUUCAAUUUAAAGUUUCACCCAAUUCGAGUCAAAACCCUUUGCUAUAGCACACGAGUUUCAAGCCAGUUUCACUUUUUUAAGACUUUGGCUUUUUCUGUUCGGGUAUGCUUACAGAUACCUCCUAACAUAUAUUGAACCAUUCUAACUUCAAAAAUCCAUCUCUUUUAUCAAUUUACUCGCGAGCGAACCUAAAUAACUCACGCGUGCUGUGUUUUGUAAAAUUGUUGAAAUUGUUGUUUUAAUUGGUAUUGAGUAACAUUCCAAGAUUCUGUUCUCUUCAAUUCUUCUCAUAUUGACAUCGAGAUUCUCAGUUUUCAAAGAAAAUGAUGUAUUGCCCCAUUUCAAGAUUCACCCAAUUCGAGCAAAAACCCACACACAAGUUUCUGGCCGGUUUCACUUUUUUUGGGACUCCGGCUUUUUCCGUUCGAGUGUGCUUAGAGACACCUCCUAACAUAUAUUGAACUAUUCUAGCUUAAAAAAUCCUUGUCUUUUAUCAAUUUACUUGAGAACGGGCCUAAAUCACUCACGCUUGCCGUGUUUUGUAAAACUGUUAUUGAGUGACUUUCCAAGAUUCUGUUCUCUUCAAUUCUUCUCAUAUUGACAUCAAGAUUCUCAGUUUUCAAAAGAAAAUGAGGUAUUGUCCCUCAUUUCAAGUUUCAACCAAUUAGAGCCAAAACCCUUUAGCACAUGAGUUUCUGCCCAGUUUCACUUUUUUUGGCCCUCCGACUUUUUCCGUUUAGGUGUUCUUUCAAACACCUCCUAACAUAUAGUGAACCAUUCUAGCUUCAAAAAUGUGUGUCUUUUAUCAAGUUACUCGCGAUCGGGCUUAAAUAAACUCACGCGUGUCGUGUUUUGUAAAGCUGUUGAAAUUGUAGUUUUAAUUGCUAUUGAGUGAGUUUUUAAGAUUAUGUUCUCUUUAGUUCUUCUCAUGUUGACAUCAGAAACCUUAGUUUCAAAAGAAAAUGAGGUAUUGUCCAUCAUUUCAAGUUUCACCCAAUUCGAGCCAAAACCCCUUGCUAUAACACACGAGUUUCUGCCCAGUUUCACUUUUUCUUAACAUGCCUUGGCCUGUUUUGACCCUCUUUGGGCUGUCUUGACCCACCUAGGGCCGCUAAAGGGCCAGCUUGACUUGCCUAGGACCGCCAAGGGGCCGCCUUGACUCGUUUAAGGCUGCCAAAGGGCCGUCUUGACCCGCCUAGGGCCACCCAAGGGACGCCUUGACCUACCUAGGUCAGCCUUAACCUUCUAAGGGGCCGACUUGACUUGCCAAGGGGCUGCCUUUACACGCCUAGGGGCACUUUGACCUCCCUAACAAGUGCCGAGACCCAACAAGGACCGCCUUGACCUGUUAAGGGGCCACCAAGGGUCGCCUUGACCCGUCAAGGGGCUGUCUUAAAACUCCUAGGCUCGCCUAGAGCUGCUUUAACCCUCCAAGGGGCCGUCUUGACCCGCCAUGGGACUGCCUUUACACGCCUAGGGCCGCCUUUUGCCAUCUGGACCCUCCUAGACCUGCCUAGGGCACCAAUGGGCCGUCAUGUGUCACAUCCCGACCCUUAUAUUUUUAUCUUAUUUACUAGCUUGAUUUUAAUAAGAAUUUUACCGUCUCCGUCAUUGAGGUAAUAGUUUAAUCGGUCCCUAGAGGUGUUUUGAGGGACGAUUAAUUUCGGGGAAUUAUUCGUGGGAGAAAAUAUGACAACGGUAAAAAUGGUAAAUUUUAGCUAGUAAAAGGUAAUUUUUAUUCGGGUAUUAUUUUUCGGGGUGUUUUAUUUUGGAUUUGGGUGGUAUAAGAAGGUUGGACCGGGCCAAGGGGUGGUCAAAGCCCAGCCCUUUUUCUCUCUCUCUCCCCGCCGGUUUUCUUCUUGGCUGUCCGCCGCCGUCCGGUCACCAACCGCCGCCGCACCGGUCCCGUUCGGUUAGCCUCCAACCCAGCUUCCAUUCUAGGCCGGUAGCAGCUCCCCUAGCGCCGCCGUGAGAGAGCAACGACGCCCGGAGCCGCUAGCUGCCGUGGUGGUUCUCUCGCCGGAGCUCCCUCCUCCGGCCACCAAAACCGGCGAUCCUUGGCUCAUUUUGUAGCCCUCCUCCCAUGCAGCAACCCCUCCAAACAGCUCACCCUCUCUUGAGCUAGGUAAGGAGAAAUGUGAAGUUGAAAUUCUAGAGCGUUUUUGAUGUUUCUGUUUGAUUGGCAUAGCUAGGCUUGGAUUUUGGGUUUGUGCUAGUUAGGAAAGUUGUAGAGCAUGAUGAGAGAAAGAUGCUGUCAAAAUUUCAUAGGUUUUGGAGGUCGCCGGAAUCGGCCUCCGGCCGCCGCUGCCGGCGGAGCCGGCGCCGGCGCCGGAGUUGUUUGGGAGAUUUUAAUGUUUUUAAUUGUGGAAUAUUAAGGGGAGUCUAUUGAAGUGAGUCAUGGAAUUUUUGGAUAAGUUUAUGAAUUUCCGAAGUGUGGUAUUUUUGGCGGUUAAUUAAUGUAGAAUCCGGCCGUAGGAUUUAAGUCGUAUUUUUGGGGAGGUUGUAUUUACGGCUGCCGAGUAUGAUAUUUAAGUUCGGAUCGUUUCGAUUUAAGAUUAUCAAAGUUAGGCAAUGAUGAGCGUAUUUAUGGCUCUCGGGUAAUUUUGCCUAUUUUGAUUAAAUAUUGGAUUGUUAGUUGGGAAAUUAAUAUUAUAUUUGGAACAGGACAUGAGGAGGCUCGAGCAGACGAGGCCCCAGAUCGACAUCAGGUUUAGGCCAAAUUUGUGAGUGGACUUUUGUUUUAAAUAAAAUGCAUGCUAGAGUUCAUGGUUGAACAAUAAUUGUUGCGGAAUAUUUUGACGUCAUUUUAAUUUGAUGAAUUUUAUUUCUCUUGGAGAGUUAUCGAAAAUGGGAUUUUCGGUGGAUAUAAAUAUGUAUUUAUGAGAGAGUAUGUAUAUAAAAUGCUAGCUAGCCAUAUGUGUCUGUCCACCUUAAUGGCGUAGCAUAUAGCCGUAUUAUGGUGUGACGUGAGCGUUGGACGUGAGCGUAGUAGCCCUAUAUGAGUGUUUAAUUCACAUAGGGCACGCCUAGGGCUGCUAAGGGGACGUCUUGACCCGCCAAGGGGUUGUCUUUACAUGCCUAGGGUUGUUUUAACCUCCCUAGGGCUGCCAAUGGGCCGCCUUGACCUGUUUAUGGGCUGCCUUGACCCUUCUAGUCCUGCCUAGGGCCGCCUUGACCCUCUUAGACCCGCCUAAGGCCACCAAGAAGCUGCCAUGACUCACUAAGGGGUCGCCAUGACCCUCCUAGGCCCGUCUAGGGCCGCCAAAUGGCCGCCUUGACCCAUCAAGGGCCGCCUUGACCUGUCUUGACCCACCUUGACCCGCUUUGACCCUUCUUGGGCCACCUAGGGCAGCCAAGGGGGAGCCAUGACCCACCUGGGGCCGCCAAGGGGGCCGUCUUGUCUUGCUUAGCAGCCGGCUUGACCCGCCUAGGGCCCUCAUGUGGCAGCCUUCACCCGUCUAAGGUGCUAAGGCGCCACCUUGACCAUCCUUAGCCCUCUUAGGAAGGCCUAGGGUCACGAAAGGGUCACGAAAGGGUCACCUUUACUCGCCUAGGGCAGCCAAGGGGCUGACUUGACCCGCCAUGGGCCGUCUUGACCAUCCUUGACUAGCGUUCACCCGUCUAAGGCUGCCAAGGGGCCGCCUUGACCCAGUAAAGGGCUACCUAGACUCGCCUAGGGCCUCCAUGACUCGCCAAGGGGUAGCCAUGACCCUCCUAGGGUUGUCUAGGCCGUUGAGGGGCCGCCUUGACCCUCUUUGGCCAGCAUAGGACCGCCAAAGGGCCGCCUUAACCCGCCUAGGGACGCCAAGGAUCUGCCAAGACCCGUCUAGGGCCGCCUUGACGCGUCUAGGGACGCCUUGUCCCGCCUAGUACCACCAAAGGCCGCCUUGACCCGUUUAGGCUUGCUUAGUGCCGUCAGUGGCCGCUAAGGGGCCUCCUUGACCAGUUUAGGGCCAACAAAGGCCACUUUAACCCGCCUUGACCCGCCAUGGCCCCCCUUGACUUGCCUUGGACCCGCCUAUACCCACCUUGGGCCGCCUUGAAUAGCUUUGGGCCGCCUUGACCAUUAUAGACCCGCCUAAGGCCGCCUUGACCCACCUUGACCCGCAUUGGACCCGUCUUGGGCCGCCUUGACCCGCCUUGGCCCGUCUUGAACCAUCUUGGGCCGCCUUGAUCUUCCUAGACCCGCCUAGGGCCGCCUAGACCCUAUUAGACCCGCCUAAGGCCACUAAGAAGUCGCCAUGACUCGCCAUGACCCGCCUAGGCCUGUCAAGGGGCUGCCUUUACAUGCCUUGACCCUCCUAGGCCCGCCUAGGGCCACCUUGACUCGUCUAAGGCCACCUUAACCUGUCUUGACCCGCCUUGGAACGCCUUAGGCCGCCUUGACCCGCCUUGAACCUCCUUUGGCCGCCUUGACCCUCCUAUACCCACCUAGGGCUUCCUUGACCCUCCUAGACCCGCCAAAGGGCUGCCUAGGGCCGCCAUGGGGCCGCCUUGGAUCGCCUUGACCAGCCUUGACAUGCCUUAACCCUCCUAGGCCCGCCUUGGGCCGCAUUGACCUGCCUUCGCCCGCCUUGACCCGCAUUGGACCCGCCUUGGGCAUUUUCUUGACCCGCCUUGAACCGCCUUGACCCUCCUAGACCCACCUAGGGCCGUCUUCACCCUCCUAGACCUGCCUAGGGCUGUCUUGACCCUCUUAGACCCGCCUAGGGCCACCAAGAAGCCGCCGUGACCCGCCUAGGCCGGUUAAGGGUUGCCUUACACGCCUUUACCCUCCUAGGCCCGCCAAGGGCCGCCUUAACCCGUGUUGACCCAUCUUAGAACGCCUUGGGACGUCUUGACCCGCUUUGGGCCGCCUUGACCAGCCUUGAACCGUCUUGGGCCCUCUUGACCCUCCUUGACCCACCUAGACUCGCCAAGGGCCGCCAUAGGGCCGUCUUGACCCGCCUUGGACACCUUGACCCUCCUAGAUCCGCCUUGACCCUCCUAGACUCGCCUAGGGCCACCAAGAAGCCACCAUGACUCGCCAUUACCCUUCAAGGGAUUGCCUUUACACGCCUUGACCCUCCUAGGCCCGUCUAGGGCCACCUUAACCCUCCUCGGCCCUUCUUGGCCCACCUAAUGCAGCCAGGGGGGAGCCAUGACCCACCUAGAGCCGCCAAGGGGCUUCCUUUACACGCAUUGACCCGCCUAGGGCCACGAAGAGGGCCGCCUUGACACGUCUAGGGCCGCCAAGGGGACGUCUUAACCAUCCAAGGGGAUGCCAUUACACGCCUAGGUCUGUUUUGACCUCCCUAGGGCUUGCCAUGACCCUCCUAGGGCCGCCAAGGGGCUGCCUACGGCUCCCAUGGGGCUACCUUGACCCAUUUAGGGCCGCCUUGAACCGCCUUGGCCCUUCUUGGGCCGCUUUGACCAGCCUUGGCCCGCCUUGACCCGCCUUGGUUCGCCUUGACCCGUUUUAGCCCGCCCUAACCCGUCUUGGACCGCCUUUGGCCGCCUUGACCCGCCUUGGCCCGUCUUGGAGCGCCUUGACCCACCUUGGCCCGCCUUGACCUGCCUUGAACCGUCUUGGGCCACCUAGUGCCACCAAGAAGCCGCUAUAACUCACCAAGAAGCCGCCAUGACUAGCCAUGACCAUCCUAGGCCCAUCUAGGGCCGCCAACGGACCGCGUUAACCAGUGUUGGGCCGCCUUGACCCUCCUCGACCCUUCUAGGCCUACCAAGGGCAGCCAAGGGGGUGCCAUAACCCACCUAGGGCCGCCAAAGGUCUGCCUUUACACGCCUUGACCCGUCUAGGACCGCCAAGAGGCUGCCGUGACAUUCCUAGGGCCGCCAAAAGGGACGCCUUGACAUGCAUAGGGCCGCCAAUGGGACAUCUUGACCCGCUAAGGAGUUGCCUUUACACGCCUAAGGCUGUUUUGACCUCCCUAAGGACCGCCUAGGGGCACCAAGGGGAUGCAUACGUCUGCCAAGGGGCCAUCUUGACCCACCUUGGCCGUCUUGACCCGCCAUGACCCGCCUUGACAUGCCUUAGCCCGCCUUGACCCGCCUGGGGCCGUCAUGGGCCGCCUUGACCCUCCUAGACCCACAUAGGGCCACAAAAAGCCGCCUUGACUCGCCAGGGGGUCCCCAUGACCCUCCUAGGCCCGUCUAGGGCACCCAAAGGGCCGCCUUGACCCGCCUUGACCUUACUCGGCUCUUCUAGGCCCACUUAAGGCAGCCAAGGGGCGGCCAAGGGGGCGCUUUGACCCGCCUUGGACCGCCUUGAGCCGCCAUGGGCAGCCUUGACCCGCCUUUACUCGCCUUAAACCGCCUUGACCCUCCUAGACCCGCCUAGGGCCACCUGGAAGGCAGCCAAGGGGCGCUUUGACCCGCCUUGACCAGUUUUGGACCGCCUUGAGCCACCAUGACCAGCCUUGACCCCCUUGAUUUGCCUUGACCCGCCUUGGCCCGCCUUGUGCCGCUUUGACCCGCCUUUACCAUACAUGACCCGCCUUUGCCCACCAUGAUCUGCCUUGGGUCGCUUUGACCGGUCUUGACCCGUAUUUGCCCGCUUUGACCCACCUUGACCCGCUUUGGACCUCCUUGACCCGCUUUGGACCUCCUUGACCGGCCUUGGACCGCCUUGACCCGCCUUAGACCACCUUAACCCGCUUUGGACCGUCUUGGAACAUCUUGACUCGCCUUGGCCCGCCUUGACCUGCCUUAGCCAGCCUUAGGCCGCCUUGACCCGCCUUGACCCGCCUUGAACUGCCUAGAGCCACCAUGAAGCCGCCAUGGCUUGCCAAGGCGUCGCCAUGACCCUCUCUAGGGACCGCUUUAACCCGCAUUGACCCGUCUUGGCCCGCCUUGACCCGUUUUGACCCUCCUAGGGCCGCUAAGGGGGUGCCAUGAUCAACCUAGGGCAACCAAGGGGGCGCCAUGACCCACCUUGGCCAGCCAAGGAGCUGCCUUUACACGCCUUGACCCGUCUAGGGCCGCUAAGAGGCCGCCUUGAAAGUCCUAGGGCCGCCACCAAGGGGGCCGCCUUGACACGCCUAGGGAUGUUUUGACCUCCUUAGGGCCCGCGUUGACCCGCCAAGGGCUGCUAAGGGGCCACCUUGACCCGCCUUGGCCCGUUUUGGGUAGCCUUGACCCACCUUGACCUGCCUUGUCCCACCCUGGACAGCCUUAACCCGCCUUGACCCUCCUUGGCCCGCUUUGGGCCGCAUUUACCCUCCUUGAAUCGACUUGGGCCGUUUUGUCCCGCUUUUGCUCGCUUUGACCCGCAAUGACCCAUUUUGGACCGCCUUGGACUACCUUGACCCGGCUUGGACCGUUUUGGACCGCUUUGUACUGCCUUGACCGGCCUUGACCUGCCUUGACCCGCCUUGACCUGCUAUGACCCGCCUUUGCCCUCUUUGACCCGCCUUAACCCGCUUUAGACCACCUUGACCCGCCUUGGGCCGCCUUUACCCGCCUUGGGCCGCUUUGGACCGCCUUGACCUGCCUUGGCUCGGGUUAGGCCGCCUUGACCCGCCUUGAACCGCCUUGGGCCGCCUAGUGCCACCAUGAAGCCGCCAUGACUCGCCAAGGCGUCGCCAUGACCCUCCCUAGGGACCGCCUUAACUCGCAUUGACCCAUCUUGACCUGCUUUGACCUACCUAGGGUCGUCGAGGGGCGCCAUGACCCACCUAGGGCAACCAAGGGGGUGCCAUGACCCACUUAGGCCCGCCAAGGGACUGCCUUUACACGACUUGACCCGUUUAGGGCCGUUAAGAGGCUGCCUUGACAAUCCUAGGGCCGCUAAGGGGCUGCCUUUACACGACUUGACCCAUUUAGGGCCGCUAAGAGGCUGCCUUGACAGUCCUAGGGCCGCCAAAGAGGCCGCCUUGACCCUCCUCGACUCUUCUAGGCCAACUUAAGGUAGCCAAGGGGCGGCUAAGGGGGCGCUUUGACCCGCCUUGAGCCGCCAUGGGCAGCUUUGACCCGCCUUGGGCCGCCUUUACUCGCCUUGAACCGCCUUGACCCUCCUAGACCCUCCUAGGGCCACCUAGAAGGCAGCCAAGGGGGCGCUUUGACCCGCCUUGACCAGCUUUGGAUCGUCUUGAGCCGCCAUGACCAACCUUGACCCCCUUGACUUGCCUUGACCUGCCUUGUCCCGCCCUGUAUUGCCUUGACUUGCCUUGACCCCCUUGACCCUCCUUGGCCCGCAUUUACCCGCAUUGAAUCUACUUGGGCCGCUUGACCCUCUGUGGCCCGCCUUGACCCGUCCAGGGCCGCCUUGACCCUCCUCGGCCUUUCUAGGCCCACUUAGGGCCUCCAAGGGGACGUCUUGACCCGUCAAGAGGCUGCCUAGGGCCGCCAAGGGGCAGCAUUUACACGCCUAGGGCUCGCCUAAGGCCGCAAAAGGGUUGCCAAGGGACCACCUUGACCCGUCUUGACCUGUCUUGACCCGCCUUGGACCGCCAAGGUGGCCCCGCCUUGGGCAGCCUUGACCCGUCUUGACCCUCCUAGACCCACCUAAGGCCACCAAGAAGCCGCCAUGACUCGCCAAGGGGUCGCCAUGACCUCCUAGACCCAUCUAGGGAAGCCAAGGGGCAGCAUAGACCCGCUUUGGCCCCCCUUGACCCUCCUCCUGUCUUCUAGGCUCACCUAGGGCAGCCAAAGGGGCCCUUGACUCGCUUUGGCCCGCCAUGGACCACCUUGGGUCGCCUUUGAAUGCCUUGGCCGCCUUGACCCGCCUUAACCUGCCUAUGACCGCCUUGACCCGCCUUGACCCGCUUUGGCCCACCUUCACCCGCCUUCAUUGCUUUGGCCGCCUUCACCCGCCUUGGACCGUCUUGGCCCUCCUUGAUCCGUCUUGACCCUCUUGGACCCACUUAAGUCGACCAAGAAGCCGCUAUGACUCGCCAAGGGGUCGCCAUGACCCUCUUAGACUUGUCUAGGGAAGCCAAGGGACCGCUCUACACGCUUUGGCUCGCCUUGACCCUCCUCGUAUCUUCUAGGCCCACCUAGGGCAGCCAAAUGGGCGCCUUGACUCACUUUGGACCGCCUUGGGCCGCCUUUGAACGCCUUGGGUCGCCUUGACCCACCGCCUUGACCCUCUUUGCCCCGCCUUCACCCGCCUUGAUCGCUUUGGCCGCCUUGACCCGCCUUGGACCAUCUUGGCCCGCUUUGACCCGCCUUGGACCGUCUUGGCCCUCCUUGAUCCGCCUUGGACCGCCUUGACCCUCCUAGACCCCACCUAAGGCCACCAAGAAGCUGCCAUGACUNNNNNNNNNNNNNNNNNNNNCCUAGGGCAGCCAAAGGGCGCCUUGACCUGCCUCAGACCGCCUUUGAACGCCUUGGGCCGCCUUUGAACGCUUUGGGCCGCCUUGACCCGCCUAUGACUGCCUUGACCCGAUGUGGCCGGCCUAGGACCGCCUUUGAGAGCCCUGACCCGCCUUGGCCCACCUUGAUCCGCCUUGACCUGCUUUGCCUCGCCAUGACCCGCCUUGAAACGCCUUGGCCGGUCUUGACUCGCCUUGAAACAGCCAUGACUCGCCAAGGCGUUGCCAUGACCUCCAAGGCCUGUCUAGGGCCACCAACAGACCGCCUUAAUUCGCCCUGACCCGUGUUGGGCUGCCUUGACCCUCAUCGACCUUUCUAGGCCCACCUAGGGCAGCCAAGGCGGCGCCAUGACCCACCUAGGGCCGCCAAGGGGCUACCUUUACACGCUUUGACCCGUCUAGGGCCGCUAAGAGGCCACCUUGACAGUCCUAGGGCCGCCAAGGGGGACACCUUGACACGUCUAGGGCUGCCAAAGGGAUAUCUUGACCCGCCAAGGGGCUGCCUUUACACGCCUAAGGCUGUUUUGACCUCCCUAAGGACUAUCAUGACCCGCUUAGGGUCGCCAAGAGGGGUGCAUACGUCCGCCAAGGAGCCAUCUUGACCCUCCUUGGCCCGUCUUGACCCGCCAUGACCCGCCUUAACUUGUCUUGGCCCGCCUUGACUAGCCUUAGCCCGCCAUAGGCCGCCUUUACCCACCUUGGGCUGCCUUGACCCUUAGACCAUCAUAGGGCCACCAAGAAGCCACAUUGACUCGCCAUGACCUUCCUAGGCUCGUCUAGGGCCGCCAAGGGGCCACCUUGGCUUGCCUUGAUCCUCCUCGGCUCUUCUAGGGCCACCUAAGGCAGCCAAGGGGCGGCCAAAGGGGCGCCUUGACCUGCCUUGGGCCACUUUGACCCUCCUAGGGCUACCAAGAAGCCGCCUUGACUCACCAAAGGGUCGCCAUGACCCUCCUAGGCUCGUCUAGGGCCGCCAAGGUCUGUCUUGACCCACCUUGACCCUCCUCGGCUCUUCUAGGCCAACCUAAGGCAGCCAAGGGGCGGCCAAUGGGGGGCUUUGACCCGUCUUGGACCGCCAUGACCCGCCUUGAGUCGCCAUGGGCCGCCUUUACCCACCUUGAACCCCUUUGGGCCGCCUUGACCCUCCUAGACCCGCCUAAGGCCACCUAGAAGGCAGCCAAGGGGCGACCAAAUGGGCGCUUUGACCCGCCUUAGACCGCUUGACACACCUUGACCCGCCUUGGACGGCCUUAACCCGCCUUGACCCUCUCCUAGACCUAGGGCCACCAAGAAGCCGCCUUAACUAGCCAAGGGGUCACCAUGACCCUAGGGUCGCCUUGAGCCGUCUUGAUCCUCCUCGGCUCUUCUAGGCUCACCUAAGGCAGUCAAGGGACGGCUAAGGGGGCGCCUUGACCCGCCUUGGACAGCCCUAGAAUGCCUUGGGGCCGCCUUGACCGUCCUAGACCCACCUAGGGCCACCAAGAAAUCGCCUUGACACACCUUGGACCGCCUUGACCUGCCUUGACCUGCUUUCACUACCGCCUUGGGCCGCUUGGACCCGCUUUUGCCCGUCAAGACCCGCCUUUGCCCGCCAUGACCCGCCUUGACUUGCCUUGACCAGCCUUGGGCCGUUUUGACUCGCCUUUCCCCGCUUUGACCCGCCUUUCCCCGCUUUGACCCGCUUUGGACCACCUUGACCCGCUUUGGACCGCCUUGACCUGUCUUGGCCCGGCUUAGGCCGCCUUGACCCGUAUUGAACCGCUUUAGGCCGCCUAGUGCCACCAUGAAGCCGCCAUGACUCGCCAAGGCGUCGCCAUGACCCUCCCUAGGGACCGCGUUAACCCGCAUUGACCCGUCUUGACCCGCUUUGACCUUCUUAGAGCCGCCAAGGGGCGCCAUGACCCACCUAGGGCAACCAAGGGGGAGCCAUGACCCACCUAGGCCCGCCAAAGGGCUGCCUUUACACGACUUGACUCGUUUAGGGCCGCUAAGAGGCUGCCUUGACAGUCCUAGGGCCGCUAAGGAGGCCGCCUUGACACGCCUAGGGCUGUUUUGACCUCCUUAGGGCCACCUUGACCCGUCUUGGGAAGCCUUGACCCGCCUUGACCUGCCUUGUCUCGCCCUGGACCGCCUUGACCCUUCUUAACCCUCCUUGGUCCGCUUUGGGCCGCCUUUUCCCCGCCUUGAAUCGACUUGGGCCGCUUGACCCUCCGUGGCCCGCCUUGACCCUCCUAGACCUACCUAGGGCCACCAAGAAGCCGCCUUGACACGCCUUGGACCGCAUUGGCCGCCUUGGACCGCCUUAACCCGUCUUGAUCCGCCUUGGACCGCCUUGGACCACCUUGAUCUGCCUUGACCUGCCAUGACCAGCCUUGAAGCCACCUUGACCCGGCUUGAACCGCCAUGGCCCGCCUUGAAGCCUCCAUGACUCGCCAACGCGUCGCUUUAAUCCGUCCUGACCCGUGUUGGGCCGUCAUUGGCCGCUUUUACCAGCCUUGGGCCGCCUUUACCCUCCUAGACCGACCUAGGGCCACUAAGAAGCCGCCUUGACUCUCCAAGGGGUCGCCAUGACCCUCCUAGGCUCGUCUAGGGCCGCCAAGGGGGCGCCUUGACCCUCCUAGACCCACCUAGGGCCACCAAGAAGCCGUCUUAACUCGCCAAGGGGUCGCCAUGACCCUCUUAGGCCCGUCUAGGGCCGUCAAGGGGCCGCUUUGACUCGUCUUAACCCUCCUCGGCUCUUCUAGGCCCACCUAAGGCAGCAAGGGGCGACCAAAGGGUGCUUUGACCAGCCUUGGACCACCUUGGCCCGUCUUGGACCACCUUAACCUGCCUGGGCCUGCUUUGAAUCGCCUUGGGCCACCUUGACCCUCCUACCUAGAAGGCAGCCAAGGGGAGGCCAAAGGGGCGAUUGACCCUCCUUGGACCGUCUUGACUUGCCUUGACCCGCUUUGACCCGCCAUUACCCGCCAUGACCCGCCUUGACUUGCCUUGACCCGCCUUGGGCCGCUUGACCCGCUUUGACUCGCCUUUGCCCGUUUUGACCUGCUUUGACCCGCCGUGACCCGCUUUGGACCGCCUUUACCCGCCUUGGACCCGCAUUGGACCGACUUGACCCGCUUGGACCGUUUUGACCCGCCUUGACCUGCCUUUGCCCGACUUAAGCCGCCUUAACUCGCUUUGGGCCGCUUCGUGCCACCAUGAAGCCGCCAUGACUCGCCAAGGCGUAACCAUGACCCUCCCUAGGGACCGCCUUACCCUGCAUUGACCCUCCUAGGGCCGCUAAAGGGGCGCCAGGACCAACCUAGGGCAACCAAGGGAGCGCCAUGACCCACCUAGGCCCACCAAGGGGCUACCUUUACACGCCUUGACCCGUCUUGGGCCGCCAAGAGGCUGCCUUGGUUGGUAUUGAGUGACUUUCCAUAAUUCCGUUUUCUUCAAUUCUUUUCAUAUUGACACCGAGAACCUUUUUGUUAAAAGAAAAUGAGGUAUUGCCCCUCAUUUCAAAUUUCGCCCAAUUUGAGCCAAAACCACUUGUUACACGAAUUUUAAGUCAGUUUCACAUUUUUUGGGAGUCCGGCUUUUUUCGUUCGGAUGUGCUUAUAAACACCUCCUAACAUAUAUUGAACUAUUCUAGCUUCAGAAAUUCAUGUAUUUUAUAAAUUUACUCGCGAUCGGACCUAAGUAAACUGACACGUGCCUUGACCCGCUUUGACCCUCCUCGGCUCUUCUAGGCAGGGGACGCUUUGACCCGCCUUGGCCCGCGUUGACCCACGUUGGACCGCCUUGAGCCGCCAAAGGCCGCCUUGACACGUCUUUGACUGCCUUGACCCGUUUUGACUUGCCUUGACACUGCUUGGGCCGCUUUGGCCCGCCUUGGACCGCCUUGGGCUGCCUUGACCCGCCUUGGACCGCUUAGGACCGCCUUGGACCGCCUUGACCUUCUUUGGACCUCCUUGACCCUCUUCGGCUCUUCUAGGCCACCUAGGGCAGCUAAGGGGAGGCCAAAGGGGAACCUUGACCCGCCUCGACCCGCCUCGGACAACCUUGACCUGCUUUAACCGGCCUUGGACCGCUUUGGUCUGCCUUGACCCCCUUGACCCGCUUUGGCCCGCCUUGGAUAGCCUUUGGCCGGCUUGGGCCGCCUUGAUACGCUUUGGACCGCCUUGACCCGCCUUGACCUGCCUUCACCCGCCUUGAACCUCCUUGACGCCGCCAUGACUCGCCAAGGCACAGCCUUGAUCCGCCUUGACCUGCCUUCGCCGGCCUUGAACCGUCUUGACGCCGCCAUGACUCGCCAAGGCGCAGCGAUGACCUCCUAGGCCCAUCUAGGGCCGCCAACGAACCUCCUUAACCUGUCUUGACCCGUGUUGGGCCGCCUUGACCCUCCUCGACCCUUCUAGGCCCACCUAGGGCAGCCAAGGGGGCGCCAUGACAUUCCUAGGGCUGCCAAGGGGGACGCCUUCACACACCUUGGGCCGCCAAUGGGAUGUCUUGACCCGCCAAUGGGCUGCCUUUACACGCCUAAUGUUGUUUUGACCUCCCUAAGGACUGCCAUGACCCGCCUAGGGGCGCCAAGGGGCUGCAUACGUCCGCCAAGGGGCCAUCUUGACCCGUCUUGGCCCGUCUUGACCUGUCUUGGUCGCCUUGGACCAUCUUUGGCCGCCUUGACCAGUCUUUACCCGUCUUGACCAUUUUAGACUAGGGCCACCAAGAAGCCACCUUGACUCGCCAAGGGGUCGCAAUGACCUUCCUAGGCCCGUCUAGGGCCGCCAAGGGGUCGCCUUGAUCCUCCUCGGUUCUUCUAGGCCCACUUAAGGCACCCAAGGGGGUGCCUUGACCUGCCUUGGACCGCCUUGACUCGCCUUAGAACGCCUUGACCCUCUUAGACCCACCUAGGGCCACGAAGAAGCCUCCUUGACUCGCCAAGGGGUCGCCAUGACCCUCCUAGGCCAGUCAUGGGCUACCAAGGUCCGUCUUGACUUGCGUUCACCCUCAUCGGCUCUUCUAGGCCUACCUAAGGCAACCAAGUGGCGGCCAAGGGGGCGUUUUGACCCGCCUUGGACCGCCAUGAGCUUCCAUAGGCGGCCUUGACACGUCUUGGACUGCCUUGGCCUACCUUGACCCACUUUGACUUGUCUUGACCCGCCUUGGGCCGCUUGGACCCGCCAUGACCCGCUUUUGCCCGCCAUGACCCGCCUUGACUUGCCUUGCCCCGCUUUGACACGCCUUAACCCGCCUUUCCCUGCUUUGACCCGCCUUAACCCGCUUUGGACCGCCUUGACUGUCACACCCCAACUCGAGUAAAGGUAUAAUCUCGAGUUGAGAUGUGAAUCACAUUCUAAUUACAGACAGUUUAAUAUCCAUAAUUAAAAUGAGACUGAUAUCAUUACAUGACGUAAGAAAAGAAACGAUCGCACCUUUAUUUAUAUUACAAACCUUUAAAAAGGGUGCUAAAAGCACACAGGUUUAAAGUAUUUACAAACAAACAGCAAACAAACCAAAACAAGAAUAGCGUUACUCCUCAUAACGUCUAUUCUUUAUUCAAUCUCUAUUUACAAACAAAGCAAGAAGGUUCUAAUUUGCAUUAUAAGAUUUCCAAAACACUUCGAGAAAACACCUGCAAUGGGUUUNNNNNNNNNNNNNNNNNNNNNNNNNNNNNNNNNNNNNNNNNNNNNNNNNNNNNNNNNNNNNNNNNNNCCAAUGAUCAUAUAUCUAAGUCAAAAGAACAGUUCAAUAUCAAACAAUGCCAACAAUAUCGCACACAUUAAUGUCAAACAACUCCAACAAUAGCCAAACAAUUCAAGCAUAAUCACAACAUAAAACAAAACACCCCCAUCAAAACCCCUACCUCGAAUUGCGCAGCGCAAACCCGAGCUCUAGCUCCGUUGCCUACUCUUGUGGAUCACCAACGACCUCCUCGGAACCUUACCAAAUGGUAAAAUACAUACAAAGUUAGUAACUACCUUAAAGCAACUCAACACAAGGAACUUUCAAUUGCCAAAAAAAAAAAAACUUAAUGUCGUAACAUUAAGCAAUUUACUGUCUGGACACUUUAACAAACAAAGGAUUCGAAGUAAACCACAAGUAAUCCAUCUUAACACAACUAGUACCAAAACAGUUUCCUGACCCAGUCCCUUUCACAAUGGAAUCUAGGUAAAACCAUAAAGAAUUUAACUUCGUGGUCUUCUAAGGAAAUAAACUAGACAUCCUAAUGAAGAUCUUAGAAGUUGAAUCACCUGAAAAUGAUUUUUCUAGAAAUAGUUAUGAAUUUCGAAAGUCUACUGAUAUNNNNNNNNNNNNNNNNNNNNNNNNNNNNNNNNNNNNNNNNNNNNNNNNNNNNNNNNNNNNNNNNNNNNNNNNNNNNNNNNNNNNNNNNNNNNNNNNNNNNNNNNNNNNNNNNNNNNNNNNNNNNNNNNNNNNNNNNNNNNNNNNNNNNNNNNNNNNNNNNNNNNNNNNNNNNNNNNNNNNNNNNNNNNNNNNNNNNNNNNNNNNNNNNNNNNNNNNNNNNNNNNNNNNNNNNNNNNNNNNNNNNNNNNNNNNNNNNNNNNNNNNNNNNNNNNNNNNNNNNNNNNNNNNNNNNNNNNNNNNNNNNNNNNNNNNNNNNNNNNNNNNNNNNNNNNNNNNNNNNNNNNNNNNNNNNNNNNNNNNNNNNNNNNNNNNNNNNNNNNNNNNNNNNNNNNNNNNNNNNNNNNNNNNNNUCGAAUUUGAAGACUUUGAUUCGAUUUAUGGAGUAGUAAAAGAGAUUAUAAAGCUUCAAAACAGUUAGACAACAUUUCCAGAGCUCUAAGAUGUUCCUAAACACAACCAACAAUGAAUCAAAAAGAUCCAAAAUCUGAUUUGGACACCCAACUCAAGAACAUCUCAAGAACACCAUUCUUUUAGAGCUGCAAUCACUACGGCUUCUAAUCAAAACAUAAUGAAAUUCUAACUAACUCUGAUACCUAACCGGGUCUAUGAAUUCGAAGUCCAAAUACUACUGUAUAAUUAAUCAUAGGAAACAUAUAAUUGAACAAAAAUAAGAAUCAAGGAUCAAGGUAAUUGAUAUCUCAAGAACUGAAUUCGAAAAUACCAAAGGGGAUGAGAAUCCUACCUUACACAGAGACAAGACCAAACUAAGUUUCCCUCUCACACCCACUAAGUUUCUAUCUGUUUCCAAAACUCUCUCUUUGCUCCUCCCAUCUGUUUUUGAUCGAAAUCCACUCUCCUCUUCUCCCAAUCCAUCCUAAUCUACUAGCCCAACUCUCUAGGCUCUCCUAUGUAUGCCAUCUCUCACUUUGCAUGCGUGCUGAGAGAGAGCACGACAAAAAGGGAAUGAUUGCUGCGUUCUUACUGAACGUAGUAAUUAAUUUAUUAUUUUUUUUUUUUGACAAAAGUAAAAAUACCUAAAAUCUCAAUAAAACUAAAAAAUAACCUAAUAAAACAAACAAAAUAGUUUAGGAUAUUACAUUGACCCACCUUGGACCGCCUUGGGUAGCCAUGACCCGCCUUGACCUGCCUUGGAACAGCUUAGGCCGCCUUGACCGGCCUUGAACCGGCUUAGGCCGCCAAUAGCCACCAUGACUCGCAAAGGCGUCCGCGUCGCCAUGACCCUCCCUAGGGACCGCCAUAACCCGCAUUGACCCAUCUUGGCCCGCUUUGAACCACCUAGGGCCGCCAAGGGGGCGCCAUGACCCACCUAGGGCAACCAAGGGGGGGCCAUGACCCACCUAGGGCCGCUAAGGGGCUGCCUUUACACGCCUUGACUCAUCUAGGCCUCCAAGGGGGGGCCACCUUGACACGCCUAGGGCUGUUUUGACCUCCUUAGGGCCACCUUGACCCGCCUUGGCCUGUCUUGGGAAGCUUUGACCUACGUUGUCCCGUCCUGACCAUUAGGGCCGCCAAGGGGCCGUCUUGACCCUCCUCGGCCUUUCUAGGCUCGCUUAAGGCCGCUAAGGGGACGUAUUGACCCGCCAAGGGCUGCAUUUACACGCCUAGGGCCCGCCAUGACCCGCCUAGGGCCGUCAAAGGGCUUCCUACGUCUGCAAGGGGACCACCUUGACCCGUUUUGGUCUGCGUUGACCCGCCUUGACCUGCCUUAGCCCGCCUUGGGCCGCCUUUACCAUCUUGGACCCACCUAAGGCCACCAAGAAGUCACCUUGACCCGCUUUGGAACGCCUUGGGCCGCCUUGACCCUCCUAGACCCGCCUAGGGCCACCGCGAAGGCAGCCAAGGGGAGGCUAAAUUGGCAAUUUGACCCGCCUUGGACCGCUUUAAGCUACCAUGGGCCGCCUUGACCUGCUUUGACUUGCCUUAACCCACCUUGGCCCACCUUGACUUGCCUUUGACCCGUCUUGGCCCACCUUGACCCGCCUUGACCCGUUUUGGACCGCCUUGACCCGCCUUAGCCCGGCUUGACCUGCCAUGACCCGUCUUGGGCCGCCUUAACCCCUUUAACCCACCUAGACCAACCUCGGGCCACCAAGAAGCCCCCUUGACUAGCCAAGGAGUCGCCAUGACCCACCUAGGCCUGUCUAGGGGCUGCCUUGACCCGCCUUGAUCCUCCUCGGCUCUUCUAGGCCCACCUAAGGCAGUCAAGGGGCGGCCAUGGGGGCGCUAUGACCCGCCUUGGACCGCCUUGGGCUGCUUGACCCUCCUAGACCCACCUAGGGCCACCAAGAAGCCGCCUUAACUCGCCAAGGGGUCGCCAUGACCCUCUUAGGCCCGUCUAGGGUCGCCUUGACCUGCCUUGACCAUCCUUAACUCUUCUAGGCCCACCUAAGGCAGCCAAGGGGGCGCUUUGACCCUCCUUGGACCUCCUUGAGCCGCCAUUGGCCGCCUUGACACGCCUUGACCCUCCUUGGACCUCCUUGACACGCCAUGGGCCGCUUUGACCCGUCUUGACACGCCUUUACCCGCUUUGACCCGCCUUAACCCGCUUUGGACCGCCUUGACAUGCUUUGAACCGCCUUAGCCCGCAUUGACCCACCUUAAAGCUGCCAUGACUCGCCAAGGUGUCGCCAUGACCCUCCCUAGGGACCAUCUAGGGCCACCAACGGACCGCCUUAACCCGUCCUGACCCGUGUUGGGCCACCUUGACCCUCCUCGACCCUUCUAGGCCCACCUAGGGCAGCCAUGACCCACCUAGGGGCGCCAAGGGGCUGCCUUUACACGCCUUGACCCGACUAGGGCCGCCAAGGGGCUGCAUUGGCAGUCCUAGGGCCUCCAAGGGGGGGCCGACUUGACACGCUUAGGGUUGUUUUGACCUCCUUAGGGCCACCUUGACCCACCUUGGCCUGUCUUGGGAAGCCUUGACCCACCUUGACUUGCCUUGUCCCGUCUUGACCAUUAGGGCCGCCAAGGGGCCGCCUUGACCCUCCUCGGCAUUUCUAGGCUCGCUUAGGACCACCAAAGGGACGUCUUGACCGGUCAAGGGGCUGCAUUUACACACCUAGGGCCCGCUAUGACCCGCCAAGGGGCUUCCAACGUCUGCCAAGGGACCACCUUGACCCGUCUUGGCCCGCCUUGACCUGCCUUAGCCCGCUUUGGACCGCCUUGGGCCGCCAUGGGCCGCCUUGACCCACCUAAGGCCACCAAGAAGUCGCCAUCACUCGCCAAGGGGUCGCCAUGACCCUCUUAGACCCGUCUUGGGUCGCCUUAACCCGUUUGGGAACGCCUUGGGCCGGCUUGACCCUCCUAGACCCGCCUAGGGCCACUGCGAAGGCAGCCAAGGGGCGGCCAAAUGGGUACUUUGACCCGCCUUGGCCAGGCUUGACCCGCCUUAACCCACAUUGACCCUCCUAGACCAACCUAAGGCCACCAAGAAGCCGCCUUGACUAGCCAAGGAGUCGCCAUGACCCUCGUAGGCCCGUCUAGGGCCAUCAAGGGGCCGCCUUGACCCGUUUUGGCCCGCCUUGAUCCUCCUCGGCUCUUCUAGGCCCACCUAAGACAGUCGAAGGUGUGGCCAAGGGGGCGCCAUGACUCGCCUUGGCCUCCUUGACCCUCCUAGACCCACCUAGGGCCACUAAGAAGCCGCCUUGACUCACCAAGGGGCCGCCUUGACCCGUCCUUCGCCCUCCUUGACCCUCCUCGGCUCUUCUAGGCCCACCUAAGGUAGCCAAGGGGCGGCCAAGGGGGCAAUUUGACCCACCUUGGACCGCCUUGACCAGCUUUAGACCUCCUUGAGCCGUCAUUGACCGCCUUGACACACCUUGGCCUGCCUUGACCAAGGUGUCGCCAUGACCCUCCAUAGGGACCGCUUUAACCCGUAUUGACCCGUCUUGGCCCGGUUUGACCCUCCUAGGGCCGCCAUGACCCACCUAAGGAAACCAAGGAGGCGUCAUGACCCACCUAGGCCCGCUAAGGGGCUGCCUUUACACGCCUUGACCCUUCUAGGGCAGCCAAGAGGCCGCCUUGACACGCCUAGGGCUGUUUGGACCUCCUUAGGACCACCUUGACCCACCAAUGGGCUGCAUUUACACGCCUAAGGCCCGCCAUGACCCGCCAAGAGGCUGCCUACGUCAGCCAAAGGAACACCUUGACCCGUCUUGACCAGCCUUGACCCACCUUGACCCGCCCUAGGCCGCCUUGACCAUCCUUGGCCCGCUUUGGGCUGCUUUUACCCGCCUUGAAUCGACUUGGGCUGAUUGACCCUUCGUGACCCGCCUUUACCCUCCUAGGGCCGCCUUGUGACCCUCCUUGGCCUUUUUAGGCCCACUUAGGGCCGCCAAAGGGACGUCUUGACCCACCGAGGGGCUGCAUUUACACGCCUAGGGCCCGCCAUGACCGGCCGAGGGGCUGCCUACGUCUGCCAAGGGGCCACCUUGAUCCGUCUUGACCUGCCUUGACCUGCUUUAGCCCGCCUUAGACCGUUUUGACCCGUCUUAGGCCGCCAUGGGCCGCCUUGACCGUCUUGGACCCACCUAAGGCUACCAAGAAGCCGCCAUGACUCGCCAAGGGGUCGCCAUGACCCUCCUAGACCCGUCUAGGGCAGCCAAGGGGCCCCCUUGACCCUCCUCGGCUCUUCUAGGCCCACCUAGGGCAACCAAGGAGCAGUCAAAGGGGUGCCUUGACCCGCCUUGGGCCGCCUUUGAACACCUUGACACCUUAACCCGCCUUGGUCCGUCUUGAUCCGCUUUGGUCUGUCUUGAACCGCCUUGGCCCCCGCCCUAGACCGCCUUGGCCUGCCUUGGCCCGCCUUGAAGCCGCCAUGACUUGCCAAGGCAUCGCCGUGACCUCCUUGGACCGCCUAGGGCUGCCAACGGACCGCCUUAACCCGUCCUGACCCAUGUUGGGCCGCCUUGACCCUCCUCGACCCUUCUAGGCCCACCUAAGGCAGCCAAGGGGGCGCCAUGACCCACCUAGGGCCGCAAAGGGGCUCCCCCUUUACACGUCUUGACCCGUUUAGGGCCGCCAAGAGGCUGCCUUGACAUUCCUAAGGCCGCCAAUGGGGACGCCUUGACAUGCCUAGGGGCUGCCUUUACACGCAUAAGGCUGUCUUGACCCGCCAAGCGGCUGCAUAUGUCCGUCAAUGGACCAUCUUGACCCGCCUUGGCCCGUCUUGACCCGCCACGACCCGCUUUGACCUGCCUUGGGCCGCCCUGACCCGCUUUGGAACGCCUUGAGCUGCCUUGACCCUCCUAGACCCACCUAGGGCCACCAAGAAGCCGCCUUGACUCGCCAAGGGUCUUCAUGACCCUCCUAGGCCUGUCUAAGGCCGCCAAGGUCCGUCUUGACCUGCCUUGACCCUCCUCGGCUGUUCUAGGCCUUCCUAAGGCAGCCAAGGGGCGGCCAAUGGGGCGUUUUGACCCGCCAUGGGCUGCCUUUACCAGCCUUGGGCUGCCUUGAACCUCUUAGACUCGCCUAGGGCCACCUAGAAGACAACCAAGGGGAGGCCAAAUGGGCGCUUUGACUCACCUUGGACCGUUUUAAGUCGCCAUGGGCCGCCUUGACCCGCUUUGACUUGCCUUGACCCGCCUUGGCCCACCUUGACCCGCUUUGACUUGCCUUUGACCCAUCUUGACCCGCCUUGAGCCACUUUGACCUGCCUUGAACCAUUUUUCCUCGCCUUGACCCUCCUCGGCCCUGCUAGGCCUACUUAGGGCAGUCAAGGGGGCGCCAAGACCCACCUUGAGCCGCAAAGGGCCGCCUUGUCCAAUCUAUAGACUACCUACAUCCGCCAAGGGGCCACCUUGACCUGCCUUGACCCGCCUUGACCCUCUUAAACCCGCCUAGGGCCACCAAGAAGCCGCCAUGACUCGCCAUAACCCGCCUAGGCCCGUUAAGGGGCUGCCUUUACACGCCUUGACUACCUUGACCCGUCUAGGGCCUCCUUAACCCAUUUUGACCCGUCUUUGCCCGCCUUAACCCGCUUUGACCCACCUUGAACGGCUUUGCACCGCCUUGACCCUCCUAGACCCACCUAGGGCUGCCUAUAGCCGCCAUGGGGCCGCCUUAACCUGCCUUGGACCUGCCUAGACCCGCCAUGGGGCUGACUUGGCUCGGCUUGACCAGCUCUCCCGCCUUGACCCGCCUUGAAUCAUCUUGGGCCGCCUUGACCCACUUUGACCCUCCUUGGGCCGCCUUUACCUUCCUAGACCCACCUAGAGCCUUGAAGAAGCCGCCUUGACUCGCCAAGGGGUCGCCAUAACCCUCCUAGUUCUGUCUAGGGCCGUAAAGGGGCCGUCUUGACCCAUCUUGGCCCAUCUAGAUUCUCCUCGGCUCUUUUAGGCCUACCUAAGGCAGCCAAGGGGCGGCCAAGGGGGCGCCUUGACCCGACCCGCCUUGGCCUGCCUUGGAACGCCUUGGGCCACCUUAGCCCUCCUAGACCCACCAAGGGCCACCAAGAAGCCGCCUUGACUCUCCAAUUGGUCGCCAUGACCAUCCUAGGUGCGUCUAGGGCCGCCAAGAGGCCGCCUUGGCCCGUCUUAACCCUCCUCGGCUCUUCUAGGCCCACCUAAGCCAGCCAAGGGGCGCUUUGACCCGCCUUGGACCAUCUUGGCCCUCCUUGACCUACGUUACAUGGAAUCGGAAGCGGAAGCGUAGAAGCGAAGCGUUUGGAAACGCGGAAGUGUUUUUUUUCAAAAAUACUUGAAAGAGGAAGCGUUUUGGAAGCGCGGAAUAAAAUAAAUAUAAUAUAUAUAUAUAUAUAUAUAUAUAUUAGAAUAUAUGAAAUAAAAUGUUGCUGUUGGAUGGAGUAGUUUUUGGGUAUUUGAGGAAGGGAAACACUACUUCUUUGUAUGGAGGUGCAUGUAUUGGAUUUCUUCUCAUAAGAAGAUUUCAUAUUCUACAGUUUGCACCACCGCACUAUCAAUCAAUAGCAAACCAAUCAAGAUUGGCUUCACUCUUUUCUCUCUCCUCCCUCAUCUUCUCCAUCUUUCUUCUCUCUUUACUCGCUCUCUCUUCUCCCUCAUAUGGCGAUCAUCUUCUAUCCUGUGUAACAAAUCGGGAAAAUCCAAACCCCUCAACACCACCCAUUGGCAGACCCAGACGAUACCUCUGAGUCUCUUACCCUGAGAGUAGAUCCGUAGACAAGAGCAACGGCGGCAACGACCAGACUGAAGAUGAACGACGGCGAGAUGGAGGUCGCGCUUCCUACAUAAGUUCCACCGUCGCUCUUCCAAAUCCGGAAGCUCGCGCUUCCGUCGCGCUCCCAUAUCUGCUUUUUCCGGAAGCGUGAUUCCGAUCGCUUCUGGCCGCUUCCACGGCGUUUCCGCUUCGCUUCCGCUUCGGAAGCGAGAAGCGCGUGUCUCUCGGCGAUUCCGUGCUUCCUAGUCCUUGACCCUCCUGGGCUAUCCUUGGGCCGCCUUGAACCGUCUUAGGCCACCUUGACCCUCCUACACCCGCCUAGGGCCACCUAGAAGGUAGCCAAAGGGAGGCCAAGGGGGCGCUUUGUCCUGCCUUGACUUGCCUUGACCCGCCUUGGGCCACUUUAACCCGCUUUUGCCCGCCUUAGGCUGCUUUGACCCGCCUUGCCCGCUUUGACCCGCCUUUGCCCGUCUUGACCCGCUUUGGACCGCCUUGACCCGCCUUGGACCGACUUGACCCGCCUUAGACCGCCUUGACCUGCCUUGGCCCGCCAUUAGCCGCCUUGUCCCGCUUUGGGCUGCCUAGUGCCACAACGAAGCAGCCAUGACUCGCCAAAGCGUCGUCAUGACCCUCUUUAGGGACUGCCUUAACCUGCAUUAACGCACUUUAACCCUCCUAGGGCCGCUAAGGGGGUGCCAUGACCCACCUAGGGCAACCAAGGGGGCGCCAUGACCCACCUAGGCCCGCCAAGGGGGUACCUUUACACGCUUUGACCGGUCUAGGGCCGCUAAGAGCCCGUCUUGGUUGGUAUUGAGUGACUUUCCAAAAUUCUGUUUUCUUCAAUUCUUUUCAUAUUGACACCGAGAACCUUUUUAUUAAAAGAAAAUGAGGUAUUGCCCCUCAUUUCAAAUUUCGCCCAAUUCGAGCUAAAACCACUUGUUAUAGCACACGAGUUUCUAGUCAGUUUCAUAUUUUUUGGGAGUCCGGCUUUUUUUGUUCAGGUGUGCUUAUAAACACC
rnacentral:lncRNA from 1 species